rnacentral:rRNA from 1 species
ACGCUGGCGGCAUGCUUUACACAUGCAAGUCGGACGGCAGCACAGAGAAGCUUGCUUCUUGGGUGGCGAGUGGCGAACGGGUGAGUAAUAUAUCGGAACGUACCGAGUAAUGGGGGAUAACUAAUCGAAAGAUUAGCUAAUACCGCAUAUUCUCUGAGGUGGAAAGCAGGGGACCUUCGGGCCUUGCGUUAUUCGAGCAGCCGAUAUCUGAUUAGCUAGUUGGUGGGGUAAAGGCCUACCAAGGCGACGAUCAGUAGCGGGUCUGAGAGGAUGAUCCGCCACACUGGGACUGAGACACGGCCCAGACUCCUACGGGAGGCAGCAGUGGGGAAUUUUGGACAACGGGCGCAAGCCUGAUCCAGCCAUGCCGCGUGUCUGAGGAAGGCCUUCGGGUUGUAAAGGACUUUUGUCAGGGAAGAAAAGGCUGUUGCUAAUACCGACAGCUGAUGACGGUACCUGAAGAAUAAGCACCGGCUAACUACGUGCCAGCAGCCGCGGUAAUACGCAGGGUGCGAGCGUUGAUCGGAAUUACUGGGCGUAAAGCGAGCGCAGACGGUUACUUAAGCAGGAUGUGAAAUCCCCGGGCUCAACCUGGGAACUGCGUUCUGAACUGGGUGACUAGAGUGUGUCAGAGGGAGGUAGAAUUCCACGUGUAGCAGUGAAAUGCGUAGAGAUGUGGAGGAAUACCGAUGGCGAAGGCAGCCUCCUGGGAUAACACUGACGUUCAUGCUCGAAAGCGUGGGUAGCAAACAGGAUUAGAUACCCUGGUAGUCCACGCCCUAAACGAUGUCAAUUAGCUGUUGGGCAACUUGAUUGCUUAGUAGCGUAGCUAACGCGUGAAAUUGACCGCCUGGGGAGUACGGUCGCAAGAUUAAAACUCAAAGGAAUUGACGGGGACCCGCAC